rnacentral:sRNA from 1 species
ACUGAAGUUGACUUCUUUGUCUCCCCCACUCUUUUGCUCUUUUGCUCUAGGCAUAACCAUGAUUACGCGCGUGAUGGCUCCCAGAGUGUCGGCUUCGAUCCUCUCCUUCUUUUAUUGUCUUUGUUUUCUUCGGGCUUGAAAGUAUGGUGGUUUUAGCAAGUUGGUUUGAGUUGUUGUUGAUGGAGUUUGGUUCUAGGCGAUCAAAAUCGAAAGGGCUUUUGGUCAAUGGUGAUGAUGGAGUCGUCGUUCUCACUAUCGCAUCUCUGUGUGGUGCCUCUUCUUGUCCCUAACCUCAUGCUUCAUUGUGUUUGGAGCAUCUUUGGCUUUUUCUGAUCUGAACAGCGGUUUUGUAUUCUCGGUGACCCAAUUCUCCUAUCGUCUCUCAUGCUUCUUUUUUUUCUUUGGCUCUUCAUUAAUUGUGUUUGGUUUAGAUCUUCUAGUUUGAGUCGAAGGUUUAGUUGAUGCUUUUGGGUUGGGCAGAGAUUAAGUUAUGCUUAUUUUGGGUUCUAACUCUUCGGAUUAUUGUAUGGCUUUGCGGUGCUUUCCGGAUUAGUGGUUUGCUUGCUUUAACUCUCUGCUUUGGGUUCCUAGUUCUUCUUCGCUGUUUGCUUCCUCUCAAUUGUGCGUGGACUCUGGUGGACUAGUUUCGUGUUUGGAGUUUGUCUCUCGGAUGAUACAUCGAUGCAGGUGCAUCUACUAGUUCUUUUCUGGAGCCGUCUUCGGUUUUGGUUGUUGCGUUCUAAGCGCGACAAUGGUUUCAUUCACUAGUUCUUCUCUUGCGAGAUCGUGACCGAUUCAUGUGUGUAGGUGACAUUGAUUGUUUUAAAAUUUUCAUAAACAAAAGUAUAAAUGCAAUGCUUCGUC